rnacentral:tRNA from 1 species
UGCUGUGUAGAUCUCAACUGGUAGAGUGGAGACCGGCAAGCCAGACCGCCCGGGCGGGGCUUGUCGCCUCGGGUUGCGGGUUCGAGUCCCGUCACAGCGC